rnacentral:rRNA from 1 species
UACGGAGGGAGCUAGCGUUGUUCGGAAUUACUGGGCGUAAAGCGCACGUAGGCGGCUUUCUAAGUCAGGGGUGAAAUCCUGGAGCUCAACUCCAGAACUGCCUUUGAUACUGGAGAGCUUGAGUCCGGAAGAGGUGAGUGGAACUCCGAGUGUAGAGGUGAAAUUCGUAGAUAUUCGGAAGAACACCAGUGGCGAAGGCGGCUCACUGGUCCGGUACUGACGCUGAUGUGCGAAAGCGUGGGUAGCAAACAGG